AUUUUAGAAAAUAUGUUAUACUGGCUCGCACACACUUUAUCUUUAAUAUUAGCAAGAUUAUUUCAUGAGAAUCGAAAAAAAUGUUCGGUUUAAUUAUCGCUCACACCUAUUUCCGCCGGUCCGGCAUCUCUGUCAGCUGAGAUUGAUAAAAUGCAUGAAUUCGGCCGCGUCGCAUAAACAGGAGCAAAUUUUAUUUCACGCUUUCAAGAAAUCAUGAAACCCUUAGCAUAAACAUAGUAACAGAUACACUGUAUCUGAUACAGUAAAACGCCCAGCCAUGCCAUGGGAUAAACGUAUUGAUGUUGCCCUUUAUUCGCUUGGGUUAUUGGAAUGCAUAACUAUUGACAGAUUAUUUAAAAACCUUGGUUUGCAAAACUAUGGUUGCCAUAUAGAAAAACGGCCCACGGCCCAGAACGAAACGGCAACUCGCGGUCGGAUGUUCAGGACAAUGUCACGACUCACAAAUUUACAUAAAGAAUAUUUUCGCCGAAAAUCGAGCCUUUAACUACAAUUUGUCUAAGUGUCGACGUGUUGUUGAAAAUGCAUUCGGACAGUUGAAAACUCUGUUUCGGAUAAUCGGAAGGGCCUCGAUCAUAUUACAAGAACAAACAAUUUGAUAAUAUGCUGCUACAUGCUCCACAAUUUCUUAAAUAUGAGCAACAGCUUUAUUCAAUCAAGAUGGGCAACGGAACUCAAAGAAGUUCGCCAGCAACCUGAAAAUGCGAAGUCAGAACGCAGAAGCCGAAGCUAUUCGACAAGCACUUGCAGUGCACGUUGAUGAACCAGACAACUAAAUAAGGAAUUAUUGUGCGAAACUGACUGAAGCGAAAACCCCUUGGGUGUGAAUAGGGUAUGAGGACUGUAAACUAGAGUACUACCAAAAUUAUAAAAUAUAUUAAAUGCAACG